GGGUUGUGAGGUUAAGCGACUAAGCGUACACGGUGGAUGCCCUGGCAGUCAGAGGCGAUGAAGGGCGUGCUAAUCUGCGAUAAGCGCCGGUAAGGUGAUAUGAACCGUUAUAACCGGCGAUACCCGAAUGGGGAAACCCAGUGUGACUCGUCACACUAUCAUUAACUGAAUCCAUAGGUUAAUGAGGCGAACCGGGGGAACUGAAACAUCUAAGUACCCCGAGGAAAAGAAAUCAACCGAGAUUCCCCCAGUAGCGGCGAGCGAACGGGGAGGAGCCCAGAGCCUGAAUCAGCAUGUGUGUUAGUGGAAGCGUCUGGAAAGGCGCGCGAUACAGGGUGACAGCCCCGUACACAAAAGCGCAUGUGCUGUGAGCUCGAUGAGUAGGGCGGGACACGUGGUAUCCUGUCUGAAUAUGGGGGGACCAUCCUCCAAGGCUAAAUACUCCUGACUGACCGAUAGUGAACCAGUACCGUGAGGGAAAGGCGAAAAGAACCCCGGCGAGGGGAGUGAAAAAGAACCUGAAACCGUGUACGUACAAGCAGUGGGAGCACAGGUUUACCUGUGUGACUGCGUACCUUUUGUAUAAUGGGUCAGCGACUUAUAUUCUGUAGCAAGGUUAACCGUAUAGGGGAGCCGUAGGGAAACCGAGUCUUAACCGGGCGUUAAGUUGCAGGGUAUAGACCCGAAACCCGGUGAUCUAGCCAUGGGCAGGUUGAAGGUUGGGUAACACUAACUGGAGGACCGAACCGACUAAUGUUGAAAAAUUAGCGGAUGACCUGUGGCUGGGGGUGAAAGGCCAAUCAAACCGGGAGAUAGCUGGUUCUCCCCGAAAGCUAUUUAGGUAGCGCCUCGUGAAUUCAUCUCCGGGGGUAGAGCACUGUUUCGGCUAGGGGGCCAUCCCGGCUUACCAACCCGAUGCAAACUGCGAAUACCGGAGAAUGUUAUCACGGGAGACACACGGCGGGUGCUAACGUCCGUCGUGAAGAGGGAAACAACCCAGACCGCCAGCUAAGGUCCCAAAGUCAUGGUUAAGUGGGAAACGAUGUGGGAAGGCCCAGACAGCCAGGAUGUUGGCUUAGAAGCAGCCAUCAUUUAAAGAAAGCGUAAUAGCUCACUGGUCGAGUCGGCCUGCGCGGAAGAUGUAACGGGGCUAAACCAUGCACCGAAGCUGCGGCAGCGACGCUGAUGCGUUGUUGGGUAGGGGAGCGUUCUGUAAGCCUGCGAAGGUGGCCUGUGAGGGUUGCUGGAGGUAUCAGAAGUGCGAAUGCUGACAUAAGUAACGAUAAAGCGGGUGAAAAGCCCGCUCGCCGGAAGACCAAGGGUUCCUGUCCAACGUUAAUCGGGGCAGGGUGAGUCGACCCCUAAGGCGAGGCCGAAAGGCGUAGUCGAUGGGAAACGGGUUAAUAUUCCCGUACUUGGUGUUACUGCGAAGGGGGGACGGAGAAGGCUAUGUUGGCCGGGCGACGGUUGUCCCGGUUUAAGCGUGUAGGUGUGUGUUCCAGGUAAAUCCGGUUCACUUUAACACUGAGGCGUGACGACGAGGCACUACGGUGCUGAAGCAACAAAUGCCCUGCUUCCAGGAAAAGCCUCUAAGCAUCAGGUAACACGAAAUCGUACCCCAAACCGACACAGGUGGUCAGGUAGAGAAUACCAAGGCGCUUGAGAGAACUCGGGUGAAGGAACUAGGCAAAAUGGUGCCGUAACUUCGGGAGAAGGCACGCUGACACGUAGGUGAAGUGAUUUACUCAUGGAGCUGAAGUCAGUCGAAGAUACCAGCUGGCUGCAACUGUUUAUUAAAAACACAGCACUGUGCAAACACGAAAGUGGACGUAUACGGUGUGACGCCUGCCCGGUGCCGGAAGGUUAAUUGAUGGGGUCAGCGCAAGCGAAGCUCCUGAUCGAAGCCCCGGUAAACGGCGGCCGUAACUAUAACGGUCCUAAGGUAGCGAAAUUCCUUGUCGGGUAAGUUCCGACCUGCACGAAUGGCGUAAUGAUGGCCAGGCUGUCUCCACCCGAGACUCAGUGAAAUUGAACUCGCUGUGAAGAUGCAGUGUACCCGCGGCAAGACGGAAAGACCCCGUGAACCUUUACUAUAGCUUGACACUGAACAUUGAGCCUUGAUGUGUAGGAUAGGUGGGAGGCUUUGAAGCGUGGACGCCAGUCUGCGUGGAGCCGACCUUGAAAUACCACCCUUUAAUGUUUGAUGUUCUAACGUGGACCCGUGAUCCGGGUUGCGGACAGUGUCUGGUGGGUAGUUUGACUGGGGCGGUCUCCUCCUAAAGAGUAACGGAGGAGCACGAAGGUUGGCUAAUCCUGGUCGGACAUCAGGAGGUUAGUGCAAUGGCAUAAGCCAGCUUGACUGCGAGCGUGACGGCGCGAGCAGGUGCGAAAGCAGGUCAUAGUGAUCCGGUGGUUCUGAAUGGAAGGGCCAUCGCUCAACGGAUAAAAGGUACUCCGGGGAUAACAGGCUGAUACCGCCCAAGAGUUCAUAUCGACGGCGGUGUUUGGCACCUCGAUGUCGGCUCAUCACAUCCUGGGGCUGAAGUAGGUCCCAAGGGUAUGGCUGUUCGCCAUUUAAAGUGGUACGCGAGCUGGGUUUAGAACGUCGUGAGACAGUUCGGUCCCUAUCUGCCGUGGGCGCUGGAGAACUGAGGGGGGCUGCUCCUAGUACGAGAGGACCGGAGUGGACGCAUCACUGGUGUUCGGGUUGUCAUGCCAAUGGCACUGCCCGGUAGCUAAAUGC
rnacentral:rRNA from 1 species